AUGCUAAUCCAGUUGCCCAAACUCAGCUACAAAGCAGGGGUCAUGGAGGCUGAGAGAGCCAGCUGCACGGCACCGAGGGUGGAGGGCCAGGGAGCUCCUGUACCAAGCUUGUGCAUAGCAACCCCCAGAAUCUGUGGGAGGGAAGACAACCCUGUGAUUACAGCUGCAGUAGGAAAUCCCUGCAAACGGAUUCUCCUGAUCAGCAGCAAUGACGAAUAUUAUCUCUCAGCAACCACGAAAGUUGUUCACCAUUGAAAAAAAUGAUUAACAACAAUAUAUGGUUCAAAUGUGGCGUAAGGGAAAUAGUGAUUUAAAGCCGACUCGUAAGUGGGAAUCGAAGUCAGCAGCAGGAUUGCAGAUUUCCCUGCUUGCAACCAAGCCGGAAAGAAAAAACUCCCACGUUCAUGAUGGCUUUGAGAAAAGAACAUAAAUCCACUGCCUGGUAAACUCUCAGGUAAGGGAUUGGUCAGCAGAUGCAGAAGCUUUUUUCGCCGGGUCAAUUCCACCGGAGGCAAGACCGUGACCGCAAACGAGAAAGGAUACGCUUGUGAAAGAUGCUUGUUGGCCAAGCCGGUCAUAAUUCAUGCUCCAGCGACACUAUGCCUGGAGGAAGGGGAAUGAAACAUUUAUGAAAAUGGCUCUUUCCCAGCCGCACAUCAUGUUCGUCAAAGGGAAGAAGGCAAAAAAAGCAGGAAUAAUUUCCCGAGAAACACCAGGCUGGUAGUGAUUUGUUUCUUUGUAUCUUUAGGACUAGAUUGCAUGUCUGAGGUUUUGGACAUGAACACACUGAGUGCUUCAUAUCCUUGAUUUUAUUGUUUCACUGCAUCUCAAAACAUCCUCCUGAACUACCCAGGAGUGAACUUGAUCUGCAGAGAGUUGAGGUGUAGCCUGAAGCAUCCCCAUCCGAAGCGAGACAUUUUCUUGCCAUGUCACUUUUAACCCUAAAAAAGAAAAAAAAAAAAAAGAAAAAAAAAAAGAAAAAAAAAAAGAAAAAAAAAAAAAGCAUGCACAGUUUGCAUUCUAUCCCAUGAUAUCCCCACACUUGUAGCAGUAACAAUCAUCUUACUCUCCCAUUGGAAGCCCAAAAUUGAAGACACUCUCCCAGGGUGACACUAAGGCAAUUUAACAUUCUGUCAUUCUUCCUGCCACUCAUUAGGCAUUGUGAGGCCUUCUCUGAGACUCAUGGUAAUUUGAUCCAAGGAGAAGGGCACAGUAGUUCACAACAAAGAGUAGAAUCCAACUUUGGUCAGAAAAU
rnacentral:lncRNA from 1 species